rnacentral:rRNA from 1 species
GACGAACGCUGGCGGCGUGCCUAAUACAUGCAAGUCGAGCGGACCAAAUCGGAGCUUGCUCUGAUUUGGUCAGCGGCGGACGGGUGAGUAACACGUGGGCAACCUGCCCGCAAGACCGGGAUAACUCCGGGAAACCGGAGCUAAUACCGGAUAACACCGAAAACCGCAUGGUCUUUGGUUGAAAGGCGGCCUUUGGCUGUCACUUGCGGAUGGGCCCGCGGCGCAUUAGCUAGUUGGUGAGGUAACGGCUCACCAAGGCGACGAUGCGUAGCCGGCCUGAGAGGGUGACCGGCCACACUGGGACUGAGACACGGCCCAGACUCCUACGGGAGGCAGCAGUAGGGAAUCUUCCGCAAUGGGCGAAAGCCUGACGGAGCGACGCCGCGUGAGCGAAGAAGGCCUUCGGGUCGUAAAGCUCUGUUGUGAGGGACGAAGGAGCGCCGUUCGAAGAGGGCGGCGCGGUGACGGUACCUCACGAGGAAGCCCCGGCUAACUACGUGCCAGCAGCCGCGGUAAUACGUAGGGGGCGAGCGUUGUCCGGAAUUAUUGGGCGUAAGCGCGCGCAGGCGGUCCCUUAAGUCUGAUGUGAAAGCCCACGGCUCAACCGUGGAGGGUCAUUGGAAACUGGGGGACUUGAGUGCAGGAGAGGAGAGCGGAAUUC